rnacentral:rRNA from 1 species
AAUAUUGGACAAUGGGCGAAAGCCUGAUCCAGCCAUGCCGCGUGAGUGCUGAAGGCACUAGGGAUGUCCAGCUCUUUCAGCGGGGAAGAUAAUGAAGGUACCCGCCCACGAAGCUUCGGAUAAUUUCGUGACAGUAGCCGCGGUAAUACGAAGGGGGCUAGCGUUGUUCGGAAUUACUGGGCGUAAAGGGCGCGUAGGCGGAUUUUCAAGUUAGGAGUGAAAUCCCGGGGCUCAACCCCGGAACUGCCUUUAAAACUGCUAAUCUAGAGUUCGGGAGAGGUGAGUGGAAUUCCGAGUGUAGAGGUGAAAUUCGUAGAUAUUCGGAGGAACACCAGUGGCGAAGGCGGCUCACUGGCCCGAAACUGACGCUGAGGCGCGAAAGCGUGGGGAGCAAACAGG